GGCUAGUUAGCUCAGUUGGUUAGAGCAUGGUGUUAAUAAUGCCCCAAUCCUGGGUUUGAUCCCCGUAUGGGCCG
rnacentral:tRNA from 1 species